rnacentral:rRNA from 1 species
GACGAACGCUGGCGGCGUGCUUAACACAUGCAAGUCGAACGGAAAAGCCCUGCUUUUGUGGGGUGCUCGAGUGGCGAACGGGUGAGUAACACGUGAGUAACCUGCCCUUGACUUUGGGAUAACUUCAGGAAACUGGGGCUAAUACCGGAUAGGAGCUCCUGCUGCAUGGUGGGGGUUGGAAAGUUUCGGCGGUUGGGGAUGGACUCGCGGCUUAUCAGCUUGUUUGUGGGGUAGUGGCUUACCAAGGCUUUGACGGGUAGCCGGCAUGAGAGGGUGACCGGCGACAUUGGGACUGAGAGACGGCGCAGAAUGCAACGGGAGGCAGCAGUGGGGAAUAUUGCACAAUGGGCGGAAGCCUGAUGCAGCAACGCCGCGUGCGGGAUGACGGCCUUCGGGUUGUAAACCGAUUUAGCAUGUGACGAAGCGUGAGUGACGGUAAUGGGUAAAGAAGCACCGGCUAACUACGUG